rnacentral:lncRNA from 1 species
UCUUCCAUUAUUCCCGUCGCCAGCUACCUCUCGUCUGCUCAUGGCUCCGCCACACCCUACCUCAGCUCCAACAAUGCGCGUGCGACCGAAGCGAUGGCCGGAGCACUCGUCCUCUUCCAUUCCGGCGGCCAAACCACCCGGAUCCCGCGUCAUCUUCCACUCCGGCGGCCAGAUCACCUCGAGCCUGCGCAACACCGGAUCUGCAGAGGACGCGGUCCUCGUCCAUGGAUCUGGCCGAGGGAAAUCAUUUUCUCCAUUGUUUCCGUCGGUGAGGCUGGAUCACAUCCUGUACUUUGCUUUUCUUCUAGUUAUUGUUCAUCACCAGCGAGAUGUGCUCCAUUCGUGUUGAGUGCCAUGCGUGCGUCUUCUUAUUGACCGCCCGCCGGGCUUAGAUCUGCGUCCCAUUCUAUUGAUUUGAGUUUUUUUGCCUCACCACCCCUUUUCAGCAGGAUCCGUGUUGGGAUGGCAAGGCCGAUUUCUGAUGUCUUCCGUCGCGGGAUUUCAUCAUCAUCGCCGAUUCCAGUUGGGCCGCGACGGCGAGGGCACACAGCUGUGCAGAGACGUCGGCUUUGAUGUUUGCUCAGAGGCCACCAGCGGUUGGACCAUAAGGUAAUUGCGAAUCUAAAACUCUCACAUGUACAUAUUAUGUAGUUUGAUCAUCGAAAAAAAAUAUGAUGUAGUUUUCUUUCCAGGAUAAUGCUAGACGUUCCUUUUUCUGAGACACAAACGUUUCUUGGCCAAAACCAAUAAUUGCGGAUUUUUUAUUCUUGGUGGGUUGAUUCUUGCUUUACCACGCGAUUCAGUUUUUGGCAUGUCUGCAGAAAAAAAAAAUGCAGAAUUUAUAGCCUUGUCGUGUCUUCGUCCGAUCGAUUGCUCUCAUCCUGUACCGUUCUGCUAUUUACCCCCUAAUCCUGGAUUUUGAACGAGCUACUGCAAGUUCAUCGACCCUAGGCACUGUUCAUAGUAAAUUCAGGAAUACAACAGUUGGUUUUUUUUGCCGAAAACUGCAAUGCUAUUACUUCUCAUGAUCUCAUCGGGUACGGUCGGUGUAGCAUGAUAUAGAUAACUCCAUAGUCAUAACAGCGUGGCAUGCUUCAGUAAGUUCAGGGGCUAAUCAUUCAUAUUGGUUACCAUUGUCUUAGCGCUGCUCCAUGCUCUGUUGUUUUUGAUGGAAUUUUGUGUACCACUUGUGAUAUGGAAGGAUAUUUGUGACAUAGCACUAUUUUGGGAUCACCGAAAUCAGUGUUGUUCUUGUUUUUUUUCCUUUGUAGCUAUUAUUUAUUGUUCAUGGAAAAAGGAGAUCCUUAUCUAGGUCAUAUGUUUUAUGAGAGGUAUUGCAUGCUAGAUUUUGUUUUAUUUUGUACAUGAUGUACGAUGAAAUGGUCGGUGGCGCACUGAUUUUAGAGUGGUCUUGAACACCUGAAGUGGAUCUCAAGCUAGUUUGUCAUUAGGCAUGAUGCAUUGUGGUUGUGUUAGAAACACUUUCUUAUGCCUUGAUCAUGACUGUAUUUAAUUGCUUUGUGUUAGAAACACUUUCUUAUGCCUUAGAUCCGACCGACUUGGAUUCACCGGUCAUGUGUAGUAUAUCUAGAGAAAUUUGAUCUAUUGUUCCGUCCACCCUAUCAUUGUUGAAUUAAUCAUGGGUAGUUGGUUGUGUAUUUGGAACUAAAAAACGUUAGAUUUAUCUUAAUCGGAAAAAGGCAGUGUUUAGGAUGAACCCUUUUUCCUCCAUCGCUAGCCUACGAUGAAUGGAAAAUAAAUGAACGCACAAUAUAUUUUAGUGUGCAGGCCGUUUCUUUUUGUUCGGCACAUCAUCAGAGUAAAAAUAAUGAAGCUUUCUUUUAGCUUAGUCUGUUUUUAGUCGCCUCAUUUUUAUCUUGUGUUCUAGUUUUUUUUUGGCGGGUAUCUUCUGUCCUAGUAAUUUUUUUUUUGUGAUCAGCCAUAGUAUAUUUUUUUUCAUUUUCUCAGUAGAUGAUGAUGAUUGGAACACCCAUGAACAUACAUUAGGGUUUAGGAUUCAGGCCAUUUAUUUUUGUUCUGUUGAUUAUCAGACUAGAAAUGAUGUGGCCUGAAUACUAGACCCUGAUGUAGACCGAGUCUCUUUUUAUGAUUAGGCUGUCAUUUUGUUCAGUUGACAACAAGUUUUGGCCCCACCUUUGAUUCGUUUGCCUGUUUGUUCAAAAAACGAUACAGGGUUAGGAUAAACUGCCUUGUGAGCAACAUUUGAAGAGGUCCGCGUUUGCAAGAUUUGUGGAGUGCAAAAGCACAACAUGUCUUGAUAGAGGAGAUUUUCGGAAGGAGCCAAGGAAAUUGCCAAAAUGUUUGAAUGUGGUGUUCUGAAUUGUGUGUGGUAAGGACACUGGACCAUUUGAAGCUAACUUUCAUUGGAUGGUUGUUGUUGUUAGCCAAAGAGUUUCCAACUCAGGAAAUCCUUAUUUAUGUGCCGUUUCAUGUAAUCGCAAACUGUGUAAUGCGACUUUACUAUUGGACAUGGACCAUUUUGUUGAAGAUUGUUAGUUGGGUGAAAA